CGGCGACCGGCGCACGGGUGCGUAACGCGUAUGCAACCUACCAUCAACAGGGGGAUAACACUGAGAAAUUGGUACUAAUACCCCAUAAUAUCUUUCGGGGGCAUCCCUGAGGGAUUAAAGGAAGCGAUUCCGGCUACGGAUGGGCAUGCGGCGCAUUAGCUAGUCGGCGGGGUAACGGCCCACCGAGGCGACGAUGCGUAGGGGUUCUGAGAGGAAGGUCCCCCACACUGGUACUGAGACACGGACCAGACUCCUACGGAAGGCAGCAG
rnacentral:rRNA from 1 species